UUUAAAUGAAGACCAGAACAAAAGAUUAAACGUUUAAAUUAAUAUCUAUAUUUAAAUAUUCAAAAUUAUCUUAAAUGUAAAAAGACAUUUAUACAAAAGAAAGACGACAAGACCCUAUUGAACUUAACUUUAGUUAAACUGGGGCAGUUAAUUAAUAAUAAUUUUAAUUAAAUUCAAAACAAAAAUAAUCCAAUAUAAUUGAAAUGAUCAAGUUACCAUAGGGAUAACAGCGUAAUAAUUUUUCAAAGAUCUUAUAAAAACAAUAGCUUGCGACCUCGAUGUUGAAUUAAUUACCUAAUUAAAGCAAAAGCUAAUCAAGGAAGUCUGUUCGACUUUUAAACAAUUACAUGAUUUGAGUUCAGACCGGUAUAAGCCAGGUCGGUUUCUAUCUUCUUCUUUAUUCUUACAGUACGAAAGGACCUAAGAAAAUAAUAUAAUUAAUAUAUUGGCAGAAAAAUGCAUUAGAAUUAGAAUCUAACAAAGCUAAUAAUACCAUUCAUCCUAUCAUAUCUAAUCAUUAUUAUUAGA
rnacentral:rRNA from 1 species